AGUCGAGCGGGGAAGGGUAGCUUGCUACCUGACCUAGCGGCGGACGGGUGAGUAAUGCUUAGGAAUCUGCCUAUUAGUGGGGGACAACAUUCCGAAAGGAAUGCUAAUACCGCAUACGCCCUACGGGGGAAAGCAGGGGAUCUUCGGACCUUGCGCUAAUAGAUGAGCCUAAGUCAGAUUAGCUAGUUGGUGGGGUAAAGGCCUACCAAGGCGACGAUCUGUAGCGGGUCUGAGAGGAUGAUCCGCCACACUGGGACUGAGACACGGCCCAGACUCCUACGGGAGGCAGCAGUGGGGAAUAUUGGACAAUGGGCGAAAGCCUGAUCCAGCCAUGCCGCGUGUGUGAAGAAGGCCUUUUGGUUGUAAAGCACUUUAAGCGAGGAGGAGGCUACCGAGAUUAAUACUCUUGGAUAGUGGACGUUACUCGCAGAAUAAGCACCGGCUAACUCUGUGCCAGCAGCCGCGGUAAUACAGAGGGUGCGAGCGUUAAUCGGAUUUACUGGGCGUAAAGCGUGCGUAGGCGGCUUUUUAAGUCGGAUGUGAAAUCCCUGAGCUUAACUUAGGAAUUGCAUUCGAUACUGGGAAGCUAGAGUAUGGGAGAGGAUGGUAGAAUUCCAGGUGUAGCGGUGAAAUGCGUAGAGAUCUGGAGGAAUACCGAUGGCGAAGGCAGCCAUCUGGCCUAAUACUGACGCUGAGGUACGAAAGCAUGGGGAGCAAACAGGAUUAGAUACCCUGGUAGUCCAUGCCGUAAACGAUGUCUACUAGCCGUUGGGGCCUUUGAGGCUUUAGUGGCGCAGCUAACGCGAUAAGUAGACCGCCUGGGGAGUACGGUCGCAAGACUAAAACUCAAAUGAAUUGACGGGGGCCCGCACAAGCGGUGGAGCAUGUGGUUUAAUUCGAUGCAACGCGAAGAACCUUACCUGGUCUUGACAUAGUAAGAACUUUCCAGAGAUGGAUUGGUGCC
rnacentral:rRNA from 1 species